UAUCUGAAUCACAAGAAAACUGUAAGCUGGAAAAGAUAAGCGUGGUGUUUACAGGAUGCUAUGUCUGGCACCACUGUGAGGAGACCUUGAACUGAAAUGUCAGCAUCCAUGGAUGUUGCUGGGCCUUCAACACAAGACAGCCCCUGUAUUGUCCCUACCAAUAAGGAGCCAGGCCUGCAGCCCAGCCAAAGGAGUAACUGCUUCAGAGGAUGGAUGGAC